rnacentral:sRNA from 1 species
GCAGUACACAGCCCAUGAGGAUGAGAACCUCCGGGGGCAGGGAGGUUCGACUCGAGCGAAGCGAGAGAACGUUGCGCCAGCAACGGCCCGCAGGGCGAGCCACGAAGUGGCGAGUAAUCCUCUAUCACCGACCA